GAUGAACGCUGGCGGCGUGCCUAAUACAUGCAAGUCGAGCGAACAGACGAGGAGCUUGCUCCUCUGACGUUAGCGGCGGACGGGUGAGUAACACGUGGAUAACCUACCUAUAAGACUGGGAUAACUUCGGGAAACCGGAGCUAAUACCGGAUAAUAUAUUGAACCGCAUGGUUCAAUAGUGAAAGACGGUUUUGCUGUCACUUAUAGAUGGAUCCGCGCCGCAUUAGCUAGUUGGUAAGGUAACGGCUUACCAAGGCAACGAUGCGUAGCCGACCUGAGAGGGUGAUCGGCCACACUGGACCUGAGACACGGUCCAGACUCCUACGGGAGGCAGCAGUAGGGAAUCUUCCGCAAUGGGCGAAAGCCUGACGGAGCAACGCCGCGUGAGUGAUGAAGGUCUUCGGAUCUUAAAACUCUGUUAUUAGGGAAGACCAAAUGUGUAAGUAACUAUGCACGUCUUGACGGUACCUAAUCAGAAAGCCACGGCUAACUACGUG
rnacentral:rRNA from 1 species